AUGUCAUUUGCUGCAUCCCCAUAUUGGUGUCUGCGUUGCAAUGGCCCUAGCGAGGGUAGAUUGCUAGCCCCCGGCGGAAAUCGGUUCAUUAAUGGUGACAUCACUGGUAUGCUGGAAACAGGUGGAGAGCUACACUAAUUCUUUAUGAAUUACAUAUUCUCAAAAUGCCUCAGACAAUAACACCAUCUAACGGAGGGCUAAAGACCAAGCCAUACAAGCACACUGUGUACAAAGCUGUCAUGUCUCCAUGGGUGAAGAAAGAACGUUUAUUCACUACAUUUCGUUUAGGAAUUUCCCUCAUCUACUGUAUCUUUCUAAAAGACUCAUAUUCAAGCUGAAAGGUACUCUGUUCUUCUGGAGUAACUUUUUUUACAGUAUCUACCAUUAAAGCUCUGCUUUAUUUGAAACACUGCAACAUUAACUGGAAAGAGGAACAGAAUAGGAAUCAUCAUGGUAAACUGCCUAGAGUAAAAUCCAGUUCCUCCCUAGCAUAUUAAACAUGGGAUUCUUGUACACAGUACAGAACUGAGACAGUUUAAGCAAUAGAGUCUGAAAGUUCAAAUACUGAAACAUGUUUCUGGCUGCGUAUAAGGUAUCUUUGAGCAGACAUUUACGUAUCUGUCAAGUUUUACCAGCAGAAAUCUCUCUGCAGCUUUCUCGCUUUUAGCAGAAUAACACUGCAAGAAUUACUAUUACCUAACAAAAGUCCUUCUUACAAAGCAAACCAUAAAUGCUGCAGGUUUAAACCAGUGAGACGUUUAGCAUACAAAUAAUGCAGAAAUGUCGAUUUGUAUGUGUCAACACACAAUCACAGGCAAAGUGUUGAUGUAAAUGCUUGUCAUCUAGAACAUUGAAUUUCAGUGCAAGUGUGGCAGUGAGACUGCUGGACCCCCAACACUGACAGGAUAUGGCAACUGGGGAGAGGAUACUCAUCUCAAACUUACAGCACCAAGCCCUUCACUAUUUUUCCUACGUGUAUUAACCUUACGUAGAUUAGAAGGAAACACGGCUCCACAACCUUCUGAUGGUUCCCUUCAGAAAAACAAACUAACAACAAAUGAAGUAAGAGACUGAAGAAACAGCAGUACUGGUACUAAGCACUGGAAUGUACUGGUCAGCUUGAAUAUUCUGAAGAUCAUGUAGCAUUUCAUCUUAACAAUAGCCUUGACUUAAUCAGAAACUACG